rnacentral:rRNA from 1 species
CCUACGGGGUGCAGCAGUGGGGAAUAUUGCGCAAUGGGCGAAAGCCUGACGCAGCGACGCCGCAUGAGGGAUGAAGGUCUUCGGAUCGUAAACCUCUGUCAGCAGGGAAGAACGGUCACUGUGCUAAUCAGCAGUGAAUUGACGGUACCUGCAAAGGAAGCACCGGCUAACUCCGUUCCAGCAGCCGCGGUAAUACGAAGGGUGCGAGCGUUAAUCGGAAUUUCUGGUCGUAAAGCUCUCGUAGGCGGUAUGUCAAUUCAAGGGUGAAAUCCCCGCGCUCAACGUGGGAACUGCCUUUGAAACUGGCAAACUGGAGUGUGUGAGAGGAUAGUGGAAGUCCAGGGGUAGGAGUGAAAUCCGUAGAUAUCUGGAGGAACAUCAGUGGCGAAGGCGACUAUCUGGCACAUAACUGACGCUGAGGAGCGAAAGCGUGGGUAGCGAACAGGAUGAGAUACCCGGGUAGUC